CGGCGGACGGGUGAGUAACACGUUGAUAACCUACCUAUAAGACUGGGAUAACUUCGGGAAACCGGAGCUAAUACCGGAUAAUAUAUUGAACCGCAUGGUUCAAUAGUGAAAGACGGUUUUGCUGUCACUUAUAGAUGGAUCCGCGCUGCAUUAGCUAGUUGGUAAGGUAACGGCUUACCAAGGCAACGAUGCGUAGCCGACCUGAGAGGGUGAUCGGCCACACUGGAACUGAGACACGGUCCAGACUCCUACGGGAGGCAGCAGGG
rnacentral:rRNA from 1 species